rnacentral:rRNA from 1 species
UACGAAGGGUGCAAGCGUUGCUCGGAAUUAUUGGGCGUAAAGGGUAGGUAGGUGGUUACGUAUGUCUGGGGUGAAAUCCCUGAGCUCAACUCAGGACGUGCCUUGGAAACGGCGUAACUAGAGUGCUGGAGAGGUUCGUAGAAUUCCCGGUGUAGCGGUGAAAUGCGCAGAUAUCGGGAAGAACACCCGUGGCUAAGGCGGCUCUCUAGUACGGUACUGACGCUGAGACGCGAAAGCGUGGGGAGCGAACAGG